AACGCACCUUGCGCUCCUUGGUAUUCCGAGGAGCAUGUCUGUUUGAGCGUCACGUUAAUACUUCACCCCUCCUUGACAUUCUUGGAGGUGAGUGGACUUGGACCUGUGCCGUCUAUCGGCUCGUCCUGAAAUGCAUUGGCCCCUUCACGAGGCUGACCUGUGUGGUGUGAUAAUAUCAGCGCCGCUGGAGGAUCGGCUCUCUGGGGACCUCAAACCCGUCCCUCCGGACGAACCUUGACAUUUGACCUCAAAUCAGAUAGGACUACCCGCUGAACUUAA
rnacentral:misc_RNA from 1 species